UACGGAGGGUGCAAGCGUUGUUCGGAAUCACUGGGCGUAAAGGGCGCGUAGGCGGCCUGUCAAGUCUGAUGUGAAAGCCCGGGGCUCAACCCCGGAAGUGCAUUGGAAACUGGCAAGCUUGAGUUCGGGAGAGGAGGGCAGAAUUCCUGGUGUAGGGGUGAAAUCCGUAGAUAUCAGGAGGAAAAUCAGUGGCGAAGGCGGCCCUCUGGAACGAAACUGACGCUGAGGCGCGAAAGCGUGGGGAGCAAACAGG
rnacentral:rRNA from 1 species